UCCACCUUUCACCUCCAUCAGCAUCACUCAGACACGUCAACAGAAACAACCGGACUCAACGUGACACCAGGAUCCCGGAACCUCGCGUUGGAGACAGAGUCGAGGUUAAGAAAAGCCUCGGUCGUAACAGUCUCCGAACUCAUCAGCUUCACCAUCAACUCACCUGAGUUCACUUGUCCCGUCGUGGAGCGAUAAGAAGGAGCCAGGAACCAGAGGGGAGAACAGAUAAUUCAGUCGUCGGUGUGGAGACACUUCCUUCUCCUCGUUCUGACACCGACAUGCGAAGUUCCUGUCUCUUCAUUUAUGGUGAACAGACGUGUGGAAGGAGCCAGACGUGGA